CUGUGGAAAAAUCGCGGACUUGGCAAUACACACAGCGCGCUGUCAUAGGGAAGUAAACUCGAAGGGCAUUAAAGUAAGCGAUUAGAUCUGACACAUCACCGCCCUUAUACCAACUAUCUUUCGCAACUGUCUUGAUAACAUUAAGUAUGUAAAAUCUUUGAAUAGACUCCCAUGAGCGCAGAAUCGUGACAAAUGUUGAUCUCGAGUGGGUAUUAAUUCCAAUAUGACUGUUCACACUGCGGUCGCAUUACAAAACAUCUGACCUGAAUUGGAUUUAGCACCACAUAUGGAAGUGGCACAAAUCGGAAUUGAAAAGAUCAGAUUCGUGGUUUGUACUGUUCACACUGCUAUGGGGAAAACAGAUAUGAGUCACAUGUGGGCAAAAAAAAAUUCAGAUUUGGGACACAUUUAAUUACAGUGUGAAAGUAGCCUUAGUCUCAUUACUUUUAAUGAAGAUGAUUGUGUUUUGAGCAUCUGUCCAGCAAACACAGAACAUUAGUUUUUGUUUCCCAUUUGGUUAUUUUUUUGGAAACCAAAUACUAAUGUGAGAGGAACGUUCUUUUUAAGGUAGGCCUAUUUUUUUUUUGUUUUUUUUUGUAACCAUAAAACCGUUGCAAGGUGUUUUUAUAUAUAUAUAUAUAUAUAUAUAUAAAACUUAAAAAUAACUUAUUAUACAGAUCGUUCCCUAAUGGUUAUUUUUAUAACCAUGUAAACUUUCCAACUAAAAGGUCGCAGAUGAUUUUGUGUAAUUAUAGAGCUCUGAAAUUCGUUUAAUAUAGCAUUUACUAAAAUAUAGAAAUUAGAUCAAUCAAAACGCAUUUUGAAUGAUAAUAUUAUAGUCAGGGUUUAAGCAUAACAGAAAUAAUAAAUUCAAAUUGCUGCGUCCCAAUUCGCAUACUAUCCGUCCUAAAUAGUAUUCGAAAAAAUAAUUAGUAUGUCCCAAAUGGUAGUAUGUUGAAAUGAGUAUUCCAAAGAUACCCGGAUGGUCUACUUUUUCCGGUUAGAAUUCGAAGUGCAGAUCCGUGCACACUUCUAACCGCUAAUAUUGCCCAUAACACAUUGCGCUGUGGACGAGGAUUCGAUUAGAACUACAAAUAUGAGUACAAAGUGGUAAAAUACUACAAACAUGACGGAUGCGCGAGACCGACGGUUAAGCAGAGCGGUUAAGAUAAAGGGGCUUGAGUGAUUAAUAAUCAGUAUCUAACCUGACGAAAAGAUAUUUAUUAAAUGUUAUCUACAUUAUAUUUCAUCUGCAACAGCAUUGUGAACUUUUAUAAAAAUGCGUUUGGUCAUUAACUUCUAAAUGCAUCAUUAUGCAAAGAUGAGGAGCGUUAUUGCAUGAAAAACCCAUGACUGGCAGAGCAACAUUUCUCUCCGAAACGGUAGGAAAUUAAAUUUAAUUGAAUGUGGAGGAUUUUAACUGUGACAAGAUGAUUGACAGGGUAGUUUAAACAGUUAGGGGUUGCGUAACUAAGCGACAGAACGUCCGUUAAAGACGCAAUUAUGACGAGGUAGUAUGUCCCAAAGCUUGCAUACUACACACUCAAAAGUAUGCACUUUUUCUUUACAAAAACAGUACAUACUUUUAGGACGUAGUAUAAGUAGGCGAAUUGGGACGCAGCGAUUGUUUUGUUUCUAUCUUCAUUUACUGCGUGCCUCUGAUCUGCGACGCGCGCUCGCAGAAUUUAAAAAUUAACGGUCAUUUCGUUUUACUGACUGACUGACUCAUUCGUUUAUCGACCUCUCUAUUGAACGAUUACUUAAAAUUAAUAUAGUUAUGAGAGUAAAUAUGAUUUCAAAGGGAUUUGACACGCCUAACUGAAGAGAACAUGAUGUUAAUGGAGAAGUUUUUGUUUAUGGACCAAAAGAAGAAUGGCCCGCUGUGCAAACUCUAACUUACACUCCAGCGGAAUCAUGUGUCAUUGUGGAAAUUCCCCAGGGAUCCCAGAGUGUGGCAUCUGAUUAUCAAUCAACUGCAGUGAUAGCUCAGAGAAAGCAGGAGGCCUGGCCCUCGUUACGUGUGCGUCCGGGGAGAGACAGCAGUUUACAGAGCUGCAUGUGUGCAGGGGAGAUGAAUGAACAGCACGGGGAAAUAAUCAAUUAUCACUCUCUUCGCCACUGGAAACAGACCACACACACUGCAAAAAUUAUUAUUAUUAUUA